GAUUCUUUUUGCAAAUCAAAGCUCUUGACCUAAAUUUUCUGAUAAGGCCAAAUUCACAUAAUUUUGGUACUGUUAGAAAUUGUUUUAUGUUGCAAGAGCUAUUUGCUUGGUUUUGAUGUUUUCCGAAUCGACUUCUUCGAUCUUUCUGGUCUUUUGAGUAAUUGCUUAUGUGUGGUUACUAUUGCUUGAUUACGAUAGAUUGACCGGAGUGUGACGAGUAGAGCUAUCAAGAUUUUGAGUGCGAAUCAUCUUCAUCAACAUUGCAGGCAAGUUCACACUUUGAUCAUACCUUUUCUACAACCCAGUUUUUCUUGCAUUAGAUCAAUCCUCACACAUUGCAUGAUUAGGAUCUAAUUAAAUUGUGGGAUGGGAAGUAGAUGAGGUAGUACCUAUUACCUGUUUAUUAUCAAACCCUUGGGAGUUACUAUUACGUUAUGCUUAUAUUGUCAUGCUAUUGCUCAUAGACGUGGAUUGGGUUUGAGAGUAUCCAUGACAGAUGUGAGAUUGUUAAUUAAUGGUUUACUUAAGGUGGCAACUUAAACACACAUCUGGGUGGAUUGAGGCACCUGGGUAUUCCAGGACUUGCAUGUCUGGGCACCUGGGUAUUCCAGGACUUGCCUGUUUUUUCUUUUGGACCGCCACCCAGGCCCAAAGGGAUCAUAAGAUUAUUCAUACUAGAAACUUCCGUGUGCAGCCACAAGCCACUAUGGGCUCUGGCAUAGUUGAUUAAGUCGUGCGAACUCUUACAGGGUAGACUAGCAGAUGUAGGGGAAAGUAGGUGUAACGGUCUAUCCAACAUAAGGUGCUAGCGCUUCUGAAAGACUAUGUCUCGGUUAUCCGUUUCUCAAACAUCCUGUAGUGCGAGAAAUCCAACGGAGGCGAUCGAGUCUUGUGGGGAAAAGUGCGCAAACCUCUGCAGAGUGUACAAACUAAUCAUGAUUAGCCGUGUCCCCGGUUAUGGACGUCUUGAGUAUCUAGUUCUUGGAUUAUCCUGUUGAUCUCAUCAUGUUACUUCUAAAUAAAUAUUGUUGGGUUAUUGAUGACUAUUUUUAAUUGGGAUUGAGAAUGCUGUCAACCAUUCUCAAUGUUUAACAACCACCAUGAUAGUUAAAUAAAUUUAUUCCUUUGCAGUAGGGAAAAAUUUGCUUUUCGCAAAAACAGUAUAACCAUAGAGCUUUUCCACCAGCCAUAUAUGCAUGUAGUGAUAGCCAUUGUUCAUAAUUUUUCUCUAUGGUGUGAAUUUGCCAGUACAUUCAAUGUACUGACCCGUUUCGGGCUGCAACGUCUCAUGUUGCAGGUUUCUUACGACGAGUAAGUGAUACGUUAGGGUUACGAUUUCUACACUCAACUUUGUUGUUGGUGUUGAUGGGAAUCCACAACCUUGUUACUUCCGCUAUAUUGGAUUGAGGUAAUAGUAUUUACUUUACUUUAUACAUGUGAUUUACCUAUGUUAUAAAUCCUUCGAGUACUGUGUGUGUCAGCAUACCGAUCCAGGGAUGACACAUAAGCACAGAGACUUGAUCCAUUCGGGUCGGGUCGCUACAAGAUGGUAUCAGAGCACAUGUUGACUAUAGGACGUGACCCUAGAAACUGGCAAGCCCAUAGCAAAGAUUUUUCUCUACAACUUUCCCUUUCAAAAAGAUUUUUACCUCUCUUCUCUUCUGAACUUAUUCAAAAAAAUUCCCUUUAGUGAGACCAUACCCCUUUCCCCUUUUGACCACACGAAGAUUCGACUGAUGAGACCACUCCAAGAAGUACAAGAUAUCAAACAACUAAGACCACUUCAGAAUGAAGAGUAUUUUCCGUGCAUCUGAAUAAUGGAAUCUACAACGGUUGAAGACCGAAGACAAGUAGAAUUUGAAGGCUCUGAAGAAUUCCCAGAUUUGUAUGACCUAGGAAGGCUACCCUUAGGGAACUUGGCAGACUAUGGAAGUUGUCAAUGCCCGAGAUCAGGGUGUAUCGGAGAAAGACUGGAGCAUGGAGAGUUAAAAACUUGAAGUUUUGUCAAGGAAAACCCUAAGGCAGGAGAUAUCAACUAUGGAAUGAUAGCUCAUGGGAAUGACAAGAGCAGAAACAUGGUUAUCCGUGAUGUCAUCGCCCGCUGAUGCUAUUGUCACCGUGCUGAGUUAAGGAUGCAUUUCUUCAGAAUGGAUUUGAUGGAAGAAUGCUGAUGGAGCACCUAUUAGUAAGAUGAAGUUUUAACUUUAGCCGGUGUAUCACCAGGAUCUGGGGUAGUACAUAAAGAAGUUUAAGGUGGAGCUCCAUGAAGUUGUAUUAGACAAGGAAGCAUUUCGUGAAGAACUCAGGACCCAAAAGUUGAAAGUAGCCAAGCUAGAGGAGCAAAACCUCGAGAUACCGGAGAUUCAUUGAGAACUGAAGGACAGCAGGAUCAUGGUUCAGGUCGAGUUUGAUGAAACCCAGAAGUUUGGAAUGCAACUUCAGAAUAUUAAAGGACGUCACGAGAGACUUCGCAUCAACAGAGUUGAUCUGUCAAAAGAACUUAAGAAAGACAAGCAUGAUCGGAAGAAGCCAUUGGAGGCAUGAACAAGGCUUGAAGAGUUUGAAGAGUUGAUGACUUAUUGACCUUUAGAAGACCAAACCCCUGUUAUAUACCUAUGUUAGAUGCGAUGAUUGUGAGCUGUCAUUUGUUUGAUGUUUUUCCCAAUGGCCACAAAUAAAAUCUGUCUUUUCAAAACUUUUGUUUGCAUUGUGUGUAUCCCUCUCCCUCUCUCUUACCUCACCCCAUAACCCAUGGACCCAAUAGAUGAUGAAUGGAGAUGAGCUCGUAUUUGCUAAACUGAUGAGUCAAUUGGAGACGGACCGAUGGAUUCAGGACAUGGAGGAUCACAUGAAGAAUAACCCUAUAUUUGGAAAUGAUAUCACCCAGCAUGCUCUUCAAUGCUUUGAAAGAGGUGCCGCUACUUGGUGGAGGAUGUACCAAACCAUGAAUGGAUAGCAAGGAGUAACCACUUGGAGAGAAUUUAAGUUGACUCUGCCAAAGUCUGGGUUUGUGUCCCAGAAGUUGAAGCCUUAUGGAAAGGAUAUGAAGAAAUCUUGUGCAUGCAAGAUUUGUGGAGAAAUAGGACACACCCAUAAAGAACACAAGGAUGAAUGCCCUAAUUGUGAAGGAAGUCACCCAGUUGAAGAAUGCCCCACUAGGCAGAUUACUUGUUUCUUGUGUGAAGGGAUUACCCACUAUCCUACUCAGUGUCACUUCUACCCCAUGGUACGAAGGACCGUACAACAGAAGAAAGAAGUAAAGAAAGGAGCCCUUAUGGAAAUUUUAGAAGAACCCGUGAUGAAGGAAGAUGUGGAGGACACACCUAAAGAAGACCCGAGUAAACCCUGCACUAAGUCUUGCUAUUCAUGUGGAGAAGAAGGACACAUCUCCCAAAAUUGUUUGAAUGGGGAUCUAGUAGAAUUCCCGACAGAGGAAGUAGAGUAUGACCCACAAGAAAUAGAAGCCAUGAUUGGCAUGGAAAGGUCUAGAAAGAGAAGUAGAUUGGAUUCCAGGAAGGAUCUGAGUCAUGUCACCUGUUAUAGGUGCAAGGAGUCAGGGCACUACCUCAACAAUUGCCCAAAAAGGAAGCCAAGGACUCAAGGAGGCUAUAUAAUCACAAGGAAACCUCGAAACUUGUCAGAAGUAAUAUGUUUCCGUUGUAAUGAAGCAGGGCACCUUGCCAGAGAUUGUCCGAAGGAGAAGGAGACUUGUGAUAAAUAGUUGAGUUUGUAACAGAAGAAAUAUAGCAGUAGUAGUGAGAACAUUUUCUUUUAUAUUGAGGUGUUGAGUUGAGACAUGUAAUGGAAAAGCGAGAGAUUGUAAUUAAUUGAGAGUGAAUAAAGUUAGCAUCAUUGGUACUGAUAUGGAUUUUAUGAGUUGUUACUCUAUGAAGAAGAAUUUGGGCCAUUUUAAGGAUAUGAGAAAUAUGCUCUAUGGAAGAUUUGUGCAUUUUAAGGGUGGUAGUACCCUGUAAGAACCGUUGACCCCUGGAAAAGAUAAGGAUACUCCACUGAGUGGAUUUUGGACAAAAUGAAUAUGAGUUUUGUCUCUAUAUGUAUGAUACCCAAGAGUGUGUGGGAUGAAAUUGGAGACCGUCAGUUGUUUGGACCAAAUGUGAUCAAGGAGUCAGAAGAGAAUGUUAAGUUGAUUUGAGAUAGACUGAAGGUAGCUCAGUCUAGGCAGAAGAGUUAUGUAGACUCAAAAACUCAAGAAGGUAGUCUAUGAAAUUGGAGACAGAGCAUGUCUUCGCGUGUCCCCUAUGCGAGGAGUUAAAUGGAUUGGAGUUAAGGGAAAAUUAGCCUUGAGAUUUGUAGGACCAUACCAAGUUUUGGAGCGUAUGGGAGAAGUGGCCAACAAGUUGGAGUCACCCGAAGGACUGUCAGGAGUUCAUGAUGUGUUUCACGUUUCCCAGUUGAAGAAGUGCCAUGCAGAGAUGGCCAAUAUUCCCCUGUAAGGACGCUUGACCCUGGAAAGGAUAAUGAUGUUCCACGAAGUGAAUAUGGACUUCAUAAGUAUAAGUUUUUAUCUUGGUAUGUGGGAUAUCCCACGAGGAUGAAGAGAUAAAUUACUAUUAGAUAUAAAGGAGGUAUGAUGUUGGAAAUAUGGAUCAAUGAAAGUUCCAUGAUGAGUCUGAGUAAUCAUGUCCUAGUUUGGUGCCAAUAGAAGGAAGGAAGACAGUACAAUUGGAUGGAUUAAAGAAUACUAGGAAGUUGGAAGUUGGAAUAAUGAUCAGUUGCCCGAUGAUAAGUUCAAGGACUACAAGUGAUGAGAUGGGCCAUAACCCACAGGCCCCAGGACCUGCCAAGAAGCAAGCACAUUCUUGCUGAAGGAAGAACCCUGGAAGAGGAUAUACCUUUGUCGACAGACGAUUUUAUAGGAGUAACGCAAAACCUGAGAGUUGUGAAGAAACGUUAGAUGUUUGUCUGGCUUUGCAGAAUCUGUGGAUAUAUCCGAACUUGGUUCGUUGACAAGAGAAAUUCUGCAAUGCUUGUGAGGAUGACCGAGUGUUAGAAUGCGAGAUUCGCUAAACCGUAUACAAGGUAAUGAUUUGGGUGCGGGAUGGAUUGAUCACCAUACCGACUUACUCUUAUUAUUCGCCUUGCUAUGUGGGAUGGUAAAUCUGAGUGACUUACCUAUAGUAGAGAGACGACAAUCAAAACGUUGUUUAAGCCUUAGAAUGGUAUAAGUAUUUUUCCCUUGUACACGGCAGUUGUUGCCAACAGUAGGUUAUACGAUGAGAAUCAACCCAGACCCAUUUCCUGCAUGAGAAACCAUACAUUGUUGACCACCAUGAGAUAUCGAUAGUUCUUUAGUUUUGGCACCAGACCCGUCAGCUAAGAAGACCCAGUCACAGAAGAACCUUACCAAGAUGAAAGACAAAAGAAUUGAGGAAAAGGUUAUGCCACUACCGAAAGAGCCAGAGAAGGAAUUAUACGGAAGAUCUGAGAAGACGGCACUGUCAAGAAUAAGGAUGGAGUAUAUGAGUUUUGAUGGAACCGUAACAAUGCUUCUAAGGGUGGUAGCACCCCAGACUCCCGGUGACGAUCGAUGGAUUCGGAGAAGACCCCAAGCCCAACCUAUUUCUUGCUAGCCUCUUCGAAUCUCGAGGACGAGAUUCAUUUUAAGGGUGGUAGGUUUGUAACAUCCCAAAAUUCUAAAUUUUGGAAUGUUAUAAUAAAUAGAUAGAUUUGAUUGAUUGACUGAAAGUGAGUGAAUUUGAAACUUUUUGAAAGUUAAAUGAGAGGGAAUAAAAGGACUUUCCCAAAACUUUCAUUUUUAUGCUCUCCGCGAAUUCAAAUACUUUCCACCACAAAACCCUGGAGAGAAGAUGACAUGACUUCUUCCAUUUAUUUAAAUGAUCCAUUUAUUUAAAUGACAAGGGGUGUUGAAAAUAUUUGAAUUUCAUUUGGAAAAUAUUUCCACUUCUGUAACUUUAUGCAACUCAAUGAUUUUCAUGAAAGAAGAUAAAAUGACUUCUUCAAAACAUAUAAAAUAUGAGUUGGGAGUUUCGAAGAAUCAAAUUCAAAGCCCUUUUGAAUUUAUUUUCAAUUUGGAGUUAUUUGAGUUUUAUUCAAAUUAUUUUUCUCCAAAAAUAAAAUAUAUGGAAAAUAGGGUAACAUGAUUCCCUACAACAGAAAAUUGGAGAGAAAUAAAUUUGAAAUCACUUUGAUAUUUUUUAAAAUGAUUUUUAUUGGAUUUUAUUAGACUAGUAGCACUCUUUGAAUUAUUUGAAUUUGUGUGAAUUUUAUUUAAUGCUAGGAAAAUGUUCAUCUUGUAGAAAAUCUUUUUCUGAAAAUUUUGAUAUAUUAUAUGCCUAUAUAAAGUUUUUUUUUAGUUUAUCGCAUUCUGUAAAAAAAAUUACACCGCGCGGCCGGCUGGAGGCAAAAAAAAAAAACUGCACCGCGCGGCCGGCCGAAGGCCUUUAGGUCCAUCGCCUUUUUUUUCUCUGUUUCGUAUAUUUUCGUCUACGUUUAGUCCCACAUUGCUUAGCCUUUGACCCCUAAGCCUCUUUUCCACCAAUAAAUAUAGACCUAUAGAGCCUCCAAAAAUCAUCCGAUUCGGGUUAAAUCAAUAUUUUGGUUUGAUUAAAUUCAUUUAAAAAAAUAUAUUUCUCCUCACCGGCGCGACUUCUGAAAAUUAUCUCUUCUCUCCAAAGUCGUCUUUUCUCUGCCUUAUAAAGGUAUCUUUCUUUUUUUUCUUCUUAUACCUCUGUAGUUUAUUAUUUUUAGACUAAUAUAAUAAAAUAAUUAGAUUAUCAAUUAGUCUACGUAUUUAUACAUUAGACCCUAGCCCGUAGCUAUUUUUUCUUCCGUAAAACAGCUUGACCCUGAUUUUUCAAAUAGCCAUAACUUUUUACUCGUUUGCCCAAAUCCAACGAAACCAACGCCCACUUCUUCGUUAUGAUCUCCUCUAUCUAGUAAUCCAACUCAAACAUGUUUUUGAAAAUUUUAAAAUUUGAAUUAGAUCAGAUUUGAAUUCAAACUUCUUUUGAUCAUAUAUUUUUAUCCGUAACUCCGUUUUAGUUGAUUCUUUUUGCAAAUCGAAGCUCUUGACCUAAAUUUUCUGAUAAGGCCAAAUUCACAUAAUUUUGGUACUGUUAGAAAUUGUUUUAUGUUGCAAGAGCUAUUUGCUUGGUUUUGAUGUUUUCCGAAUCGACUUCUUCGAUCUUUCUGGUCUUUUGAGUGAUUGCUUAUGUGUGGUUACUAUUGCUUGAUUACGAUAGAUUGACCGGAGUGUGACGAGUAGAGCUAUCAAGAUUUUGAGUGCGAAUCAUCUUCAUCAACAUUGCAGGCAAGUUCACACUUUGAUCAUACCUUUUCUACAACCCAGUUUUUCUUGCAUUAGAUCAAUCCUCACACAUUGCAUGAUUAGGAUCUAAUUAAAUUGUGGG
rnacentral:lncRNA from 1 species